rnacentral:rRNA from 1 species
GGACGAACGCUGGCGGCGUGCCUAACACAUGCAAGUCGAGCGGAGAUGCCAAGGAGCAAUCCAAGGUGUCUUAGCGGCGGACGGGUGAGUAACACGUGGUAACCUACCCCAAGGAGGGGGAUAACAGGUCGAAAGGCCUGCUAAUACCGCAUAAAGCUUAUGUAUCGCAUGAUACAUAAGCCAAAGGAGGAAUCCGCCUUGGGAUGGGCCCGCGGCCCAUUAGCUAGUUGGUGAGGUAACGGCUCACCAAGGCGACGAUGGGUAGCCGGCCUGAGAGGGUGGUCGGCCACACUGGGACUGAGACACGGCCCAGACUCCUACGGGAGGCAGCAGUGGGGAGUAUUGCGCAAUGGGGGAAACCCUGACGCAGCGACGCCGCGUGAGCGAAGAAGGCCUUCGGGUUGUAAAGCUCUGUCUUCCCUGACGAAGAAAGUGACGGUAAGGGAGGAGGAAGCCACGGCUAACUGCGUGCCAGCAGCCGCGGUAAUACGUAGGUGGCGAGCGUUGUCCGGAAUUACUGGGCGUAAAGGGUGCGUAGGCGGCUCCUUAAGUGAGGUGUGAAAUCCCUGGGCUCAACCCAGGAACUGCACUUCAAACUGGGGAGCUAGAGUGCAGGAGAGGAAAGCGGAAUUCCCGGUGUAGCGGUGAAAUGCGUAGAGAUCGGGAGGAACACCAGUGGCGAAGGCGGCUUUCUGGACUGUAACUGACGCUGACACACGAAAGCGUGGGGAGCAAACAGGAUUAGAUAC